rnacentral:lncRNA from 1 species
UAUUUUUCUUCUAUUUAGUAAGUUUGAUUCUAUUAAAAUUUUGUAUGCUUAUUGCUAUAAAAACUUAGUUUUUGAGGAGUAUAUAAAAUUUUAAGCAAGAAAAAUAAUUUAAUCAAUAAAUAUUGAGGUUCUAAACUGUGCUAAGAUUAGGUUGAGUUGGUUAGGUUUUGAUAAGGAUUUGGUUUAGGAUUAGGAUUAAAUUAGGAUUGAGGAUUUUGUUAGAAUUUGGUAAAGAUUUAUGAUUAGACUAAGGUUUAGGAUUUGAUUUAAGAUUUAAAAUUUAAGAUUUGAUUUAGGAUUUAGGAUUUACUUAGGAUUUAGGAUUUACCAAGGACUUUGGAUUUAGAAUUUGCUUAAGAUUUAGGAUUUGGCCUAGGAUUUGAUUGAAGUCCAUUAGGAUUUCAACUAGGAUUAAAUUAAGACUUAGUUGAGAUUAAUUUAUGAUAUACUUGUGAUUAUUCUAAUAUUUCUUUAGGAUUUUGUAAUAAUUCUUUUAAGAUUUAUUGUAGAUUUUUUAUUGUUUCUUUUGUAAUUUCUUAAAGGUUUUUUUUGAAUUUAAUUAAAGUUUAUUUAGUAUUUUUAAGGUUUAAUUAGAGUUAUUUAAUGUGCUAUUGAAAUUAGAAUUUUAUUGUUGCAAUUUUUAUUCUACCUUCCACAGUGAAGUAUCCAAUGUAUUCUCAAGUAAGACUUCAUCUAAUCUAAAAGCGGGAUACUGGUUCAAUGUAUUAGAAUAUUUAAAGAUAUAUUAUUGCAUUAGUUGUAAUGUGUAGUAUACAAGUUGUAAGGUAAAGCUCCAAGAUAGUAAAGAUAGUAUUGGAAUUGUGAGGCAAUGAAGAUAUUAGAGUCUAGGUUAGAGGCUUAUUCUAGAACACAAGGGAAAAGUUUUGAUUUAUUUCAUUUUGUGGAGUUUUUUGCAAGACUUUUUUUAAUCAAAAUAAGGCAUUGUAUUAUGGUUGUUGGUGUUAAGAGUGACAUUGGAGUUAUUUAGCAAGGCAAUUCAUACAAGAUAGUAUAGCAUAAGGAUUUGAUAUAAAUUACAAAAAAAUAACAAAAAUUCAUAACAAUGUCAUAUUACGUGAAGUCUACCUUAAAAGUGCACCAAGCACUUCGUUGUGGAAGAUAGAAUAGAAAUUAUAAUAAAAAAAUCUUAAUUCUAAUAGAAUAUUAAAUAAAUUCUAAUUAGAUCUUAAUAAUACUAAACGAGCUUUAAUCGAAUUCAAAAGAAACCUUUAAGAAAUUACAAUAGAAACCUUUAAGAAAUUAUAAAAGAAACAAUAAGAAAUCUUAAAGGAAUUGAAAGAAAAUCCACAAUAAAACUUAAAAGAAUCCUUAAGAAGCCCUAAAAAUAUUAGAAUAAUAAAAAAAUAUAUCUUUAAUAAAUCUCAAUUAAGUUCUAAUUUAACCCUUAUUAAAAUUCUAAUAGACUUCAAUUAAAUCCUAAAAAAAUCCUAAAUCCUAAAUUAAACCAUAAAUCAAAUUCUAGAAAAAAUUUAAAUUCUAAACCAAAUCCUAAAUCAAACCCUAGAAAAAUCCUAAAUCUUAAAAAAAUCUCUAAAUCAAAUCUUAAAAAAAUUCUAAAUCCUAAACCAAGUUCUAAAUCAAAUCCUAAAUAAGUUCUAAACUCUAAAUCAAAUCCUAGAUCAAAUCUUAGACUCUAAACCAAACUCUAAAUCAAACACUAGAAAAAUCCUAAAUUCUAAAAUAAAUCCUAAAUCAAACCCUAAAAAAAUUCUAAAACCUAAAUCAAAUCCUAAAUCAAAUCUUAAACCUUAAAUCAAAUCCUAAAUCAAACCUUAAUUCCUUUCAAUUUAAUCUUAACAUACUUUAGAACCUCAAUAUCUAUCAAUUGAACUAUUUUUCUUACUUAAAAAUUUACAAACCUUUCAACAACUAAGUUGGCAUCAAGCAUACAAAAUUUGAAGAUAAUUUCACAUCCAAAUAGAAGAAAAAUCCUAAAAUUUGUUCGGAUGUUGGCUGGCCUCCUACUCCAAUCUGAAUGUUAAAUUUUCAGUGCCAUUACCUCCUUAUUAAACCAUUUAAUUGUCUUCAAAUUUCACAUAUGUGUAGAAAAUUAAGUCUUUUACUCUCAAAUACAAAUUUUACGUCAAUCCAACUAGUAGAUUACUAAAGAUCUUAGAAAUCCUAACUGCCUUUCAAAGUCCAAUUUUUGAGACCUCAACCUUCUUGAAAUUCAAUAACCUUCAAUUCAAUCCUUUGAUCAAGUUUAAACUUACAACAUAUACUUCAAACAACUAUUUACAUAAGUAUCCAAACUUUUAUAUUGUAGAUCUAUUAUCAACUCAUGAAAUUUUCUAAAAUAUAAUAUCUUUUUUAUUUUAUAAAUUCUAGAGUCAUUCAAAACAACUAUGGCUAUGCAAAGUUCUUUCAAAGUCAUUAUGUACUCAAUUCCCUCAAAAUCAAUGCUUAAAGAAACCUUAUCAAGUUUUCUUUCAAAUCUCACUCUCCAAUUUAUCAAAGAACCUCUGACUUACCAUUUGUGCUUGGUUUUGUGCCUUGGAAUUUGAUUUUGGCCUAAGUUGAUAACCGGUUCUCUUUCGAUAUCAAAUUUUAUCCUUUUGAGUUAAUUUUUAUUUUAACCAACUCCUAACUUCUUCCUUCAUAUGUUCAUAUUCUUUAUUUUUCUAAUCUAUCUUGUUUUGCCUUAUUUAUGACUUUUCAAAGUAAGUAGAAGCUUACUUUAUAAAAAAGUAGCAUUUAAACCUUUAGUUCUACUUUCUUUUGGAGUAUUGUCUAUUUUCUAAGAUAAUUUGCUAUAAAAUUUGAAGUAAGAUCUUUUAUAAUAUAAUAGAUUCUUCAUCCCUUUUACCUAUUAGUCAUAUUACAUCAUGACAAUAACAAAUAGUGGUAGACGAUGACAUGCAAUGUUUGCUAAUGACUCAAAGUAUCAAUCUACAAUCAUAAAACCACAGUAAUAGGGCACCAUGGUCAAGGACUCACCAUAAUUAUACAACUAUAGUGAUUAGGCACUACAAUCAAAGGUUCUUUGUGAUCAUAGGACUACAAUAAUAAGGUCCAUAGUUAUAAAUACAGUGCACAAUUAUAAGGCAUUUAAAAAAAUACAUUGUCUAAAAUUCUUAAUUGUCAAGUUUGGAAGGUCAUUUCAAAUGUAUAUGGAGUCCAAAUUUUAUUAUUUUUUAAUAAAUUUUAUAUAGAAAAGAUCCAAGGAAUUCAUAAGUAUAUUCAAUUUUUAGAGUGUAGGCCAUUUAGAACAUUAAAGUGACAUUUAUUAAAUAUCAAUUAUAUUUUAAUUAAAUUUUUUUAUUUUUUUUCUUUUCCACAUUUUAUUUUAUUGCAAUUGCCUUUUAUUAUUAUAUUUUUUUCAAUUUGUGACCAUCAAUCAUACAUAAAUGCUAGUUUCUUUGAUUAACUUUGAUUUUUAUUUAUGUAUUAUUGGAGAUGAGGAUUUAAUGUGGAUUUUUAAAUUUUAUUUUUGAUACUUCUUCCUAUUUAUAAAUAUUUUUUUUGGAGGUUUUUUAUAGUUAUCUCAUUUUUUAUUUAUAUUAGUUUGUAUUAAUAGGUAUAUUAUAGUAAUAAAUAUAUCAUCAAUUUUAUAGUUAGCAAGAUCUUUUUGUUUGUGGGUAUAUUGGACUUGUGGUGAUCUACAGGUGAUUGUCAAUGAAUUGCAAAGCUUGGUGGUUUUAUAAUUGUAAGUUGUCUUUUUAGCCUUUAAAUAGUUUUAAGUAUCCAAUUAGUCACUUAUGGUACAUACUAUAAAUAAAUAUUAUUAAUUUUCUUCACCAUACUACUUAAAUAGUGACUAUAUCGAAGACUUUGACUUAGAAGUAGCUACUAAUGAAGCUUUUUAUCCUAUUUCAGUAUUGGAUGUUUCUUGGAGGCUUUCGAUCUUGAGGAUAGAUACAUUUUAUAAGAUAGAAGAUAAUUCUUAUAAUAUAGUAAGGAAUAGAUUUUUAAGAAGAAUUGAAGAUAUUUUUUUUGUCAGAUUAGAAUCUGAAAUUUUAAACAUGGAUGAAGGAAAAGCAUCAAAGGUCUCAUACUUUCAAUGAGUAGUAUGCCUUUGAGCUCUUACUACAAUACUUGGAAUAGGAGGCACUUCAAACCUAUGGAAAAUUGAAUGAGAAAUACUUACUUGAGUUACGUGAAAUGGAGUGUUAUUGGGAGGCACAUAUAGAGCUUAUUUCAGCUCUUAAAGAGGAUGUUAUUUCAAGCUUCAUGCUUAUGGUGAAAGAAGAAGAUCCAAUCCAAAAAGAAGUUGAUAAAUCUUCAAAAGAUCUGAAAGGAAAAAUACUAGUUACUUCUUUAACUAAUACUCCAACUACUUUGUUUUGUAUGGCUCAAGCUGUAAAGAUAGCAUUAUUUACAAUAAAAGAAUGACAAUCAUUUGAACUUCUCCAAAUGUUUAGUAAACACUUAAAAGAUAAGCACAGAGGUUUUAGGUUUGAUCAAAUGCAAUGCAUUUAAGACUUCUAUUAUGACAAAAAAAAUACUCCAUAUAUCAUAUAUACUUAUUUGGCUUGAUUUGUAGUAGAGUCAAGAAGUGUAUUUAUUGAGAGCCAAUUUUUUAAGAUUUUUUUAAUCUAAGAUUAACAAGAGACUUUUGAAUUUAGCUACAUCAAGAAUUAUUUUCAACUAUAAUGGUAGGGCAAUAUUUGCACAAGCAUUUAUUGAAGUUGAAAAAUAUGAUAAGGUACUUUGUCAACAUGAUUCUAAUCAUAUGAUAGUUUAGAUGACAAAUAUGUCUAAACUCCAAAAGAUGGCAACUGCGACAAGUAGCUUAGCAAAAACUCAAUUUGAAAAGACUAUGUGUUGUUGGAGGUGUGGUGAAUCUUAUUACACUAAGAAUGAUUCCAAUUUUUCUAAAUAGAAAAAAACCAAAUACAUGAAGGAAUCUAAAUCAAAAGAUGAUAUAGUUAAAAUAAGAGAUAAAUCUAAAAAAAAUAAUUGAAGUAUAUUCAUUGUAAUAAGCUUGACUACAAUGAAGAUAAUUGCUUCAUAUUACAUCUCUACAAACGACCUACUUUGAAUAAAAAAAAGGCCUCAGAAGCUAAAAUUAUUGAGUUAGAAAAGAGAUUUAAUAGUACAGCCUUAUUAAAUCAAGUUACUAGAUCUUAUAUAACUUUUAGAAAUAGAAUAAGUUUUUUCUCCCCAAAAAAUUAUAUGCUAAGGCAUUGAAAGAAAUAGUGGUUGGAGUUGCUACAUGUGCUCAAACAAUAGCUAAGAAUAUAGUACCUAUAACAAAUGAAGUACUAGAACCUUUGUCUGGCUAUUCAAGCAAUCAUUGAAAUCCUAAUAUUUAUAUACGACUAUCUAUAUUAUUUGGCCUUGAAAAUAUUAAUUGUGUAAUAAAUCCUUUUAUUUCAAUUUCAAUACAAGAUGAAGAUACCAAUAUUAAAAACAUAGUACAUACUUUGAUUUAUAAAGUAUUGAAUAUAUCUAUAUUUCUAGUAUUGACUUCUUGGCUUCAAAAUUUAAACCAAUAGGGAUCUUUUAAUUGGUUGAUAAAAUAUUAGAACGUAAAGUGCCUACAUCAUUAUUAGAUAGACUCAAGCAAUAACAAAGCCUUUAACACAAGAGAAUUUGGAUAAGUUACAAGCCAAACUUGCAACUAAAGUUAUUUCUAUAUUUGAUGAAGAUCAUUUCAAGGCAAUAAACAUUAUUCCUUCAAGUGGAGUACCAUUGGCUAUAGAAGUAGCAUUUUUAUUUGAUAUUAUAGCUAAAUUUAGUUAAAAAUAUCAAAAUUUAUGCCCAAAAAUUAUACAAUUAAUUAAUAAUAAUAAUGUAUUGGUUGUUAGCCAUACUAGUAGAAAUACUAUUCAUAUUAUAUCUUUACACAUUAUGUUUAAUUCUAAGGCUUAACUAAUUAUGAUUGAUAAGUAGCUUGCUUAAAAAUUAUGACUUAUGUCUAUAAACUUAGAAUCUUAUUCAUUCACCACUAUUACUUCUAUAAUGGGCACAAAGCAAGGUAUUGGCUAUACCAAACAAUCUUUGCAAUUAAUAUUUUAUAUUAGAAUUACUCUAUUUUAUUUACACUUAUCUCUAAAGUAUGUAGUGACUAGUGCUACUAGUUGUGAUAUUUUAGUGGAUCAUUAAAUAUUUAUCUAUUUGAUUUUGGCUUAAAUAAUCAGAUUACAGAAGCAUAGAUUCGACCAAGAUGUUCUAUUCAUGAUAGAAAAAAAGAAUUUAUUUCAGUUAUAUUUGUAAUAAUUACUAUAUUUAUGUCAACAAAAACCUUAUUUGAUUAUAAUACAUUAGCAUUUGAUUUGUCUUAUAGAGUGGUUCUAUUAGAAGAAAUAUUAGUAUUUAUGUUCCAUUUUAUAAGACCAAGUAAUCCACCUUCUUUAGAAAUUCAUAUAAAACAAUAGAAGCAUCUAUCUCCUUCCUAGAAAAUAUGUGCAAAACUCUUUUGUGAAUGUAAAGAGAUUUUAUAUUCAUUAGAUAUAUUAAAGAUUCUAAAAUAUUUUUUAUUAUUUACCUUUGUUCAAUCUAUUCAAUCCCAUCCACCAAAAAAGAGUAUUAUCCUUUUGGAAUUCUUUGCAAGUAUUGAUAUAGGUUUGGUAGUGAUAUUGGAGGCUAGACUUAUUAAUCAAUGGUACAUCUAUGUGGAUAUUAAAACUACAUUUAAUCAAGCAGUCCAAUUUCAUCUCCAAAGAUUGUUGGUUAUAUAUCUCAAAUAAUUAAAACCUCUUACCAUUUGAGGUUGUUUUAGCCAACUUCCUUGAUAUAUCACUUUUAUUAAUAAUAAAGAUUUAAAGAAAUUAGGCCACAUAAACUUAUUGAUUGCUAGAUGGCAUUGUCAAGGUCAAGGAUUUAAUUUAUACAAAUAUUAUAGUAAUGAAGCUCCUUAUUUGAUUAAAAGUGAAGACGUUGAGAGCAUAGGAGUAGUUUCUUCAAUAGAUUAGCAAUUAAAGGCCAUAUUGGCAUAUAAUGUACUCAAUUGGUGAAGAAAGAGACCAAAAAGUUUGAUAAUUGGCCAUUGAAAUUAAGGCCACAUCUUAUUAAUGUCAAAAUACAAAAGAUAUAAGCUUUUAUUUCCUCGUAUUGCUAUUAUUUUGCCAUAAAUCUUUAAAAUCUUGAAGAUUAUAAAGGCAAAUAUAUUCAUAUCCAAUUGCAAGAUGGUCACCUAAUCUUCCAAUGAUCUUAUCAGCUUAGUAUCUUAAAAAAGGUGGUGUCCAAGUAUGAGUAUAAAUUUCCACCCAUCAACCCAAAUUACAAGAUGGCCUCAAUUAAGAGUUUCUUAUAAUGGGUGGUGUGAAGUGGAAGUAACAAACAAUAAGAACUAAAGAAGAAUAAUACAAAACAAGCAAAACAGGUACAAUCAAGCAAUUGUACACUAUAAAACAAGUCAUAGUUUGUUCACUGGAUUCUCACCCAAUAAAAAGUAAAAAAUAAAAGUAAAAAUUAUAUUUUUUGAAAGGUAAUUUUUAUCUUUUCAAUGACAUAAAAAACAUGUAAAUCCGAAUUACUACUAGUAAGUUAUGAAGGAUUGAAAAUAACAAGUAACAAAUGGAAAGUGAAAAUAUUUUACCUCAAAAUAACUUGUUAAUAGAUCAAGGGUUCGAACCUCACCAAGGCUCACAUGUAGUGUAUAUGGGUUUCCUGAAGAGGCCUUGAGGCCUUAGUCUUAUCUUCCUACCUACAUCCAAGGUGCUACAACCCAUAUGGGACUUAUGCACCUCUCUUCUUACAAGGACUAUACUAGCUGCUGGUCCUCCUAUUUUCUACUAGUAGAAUUAAUAUUUUUGCAUUUUUGACUUCACCAUGGUGUUCAAAAAUACCCAAUUAGCCUAGAAACAUUGUGUGGCCUUCAAAACCUUGCUCCAUUUCUUCAUAAUGGCUCCCCAAGUGGUAAAACUCAAUUUUACCAAGGUCUUGAAAAUUACCCUAAACAUUCAUAGAAAAUUCUAAAUAAAUUCUAAAUAAAUUCUAAAAAUUACUAUAAUAUUUCUAUAAUUCUAAGAUCCAUUUAAAGAUAUAAUUUCCUAUAUUGAUAAUUUUUUAUAGUGAUAAAAAUCAAUUUGAAUCUACUAAAAAUUCUAAAUAAUUUCUAAAUAAAUUCUAAAAAUUCCUAUAAUAUUUCUAUAAUGCUAAUAGUAAUUUAAAGAUAUAAUUCCCUAUAUUAUUGAUUUUUAUAGUAAUGGAAUCAACUUAAAUCUACUAUAAAUUCUACUUUCUAUAUAAAUAAUUAAAAAGACAUGAGGUUCUUUUUCAUGUUUCUUUUAACUACUAACUAACAUUUAUAGUUUUUGUAUAAGUAAUACAUAUAGAUAUAAGAUCAAUAUAAAUAUUGAUUUUAGGAACUACUCCUUACUCCUCAAUAGUAAGUAAAAAUACUAAACCAACUAAAAUAAUUACCUCCAAAACUUACUAAGAUUCCAUUUCUUCUCCACUAAUACUAUUCUUCUUUCUUUAACGUCUUCUAAGCACAUCUUUACCUAAUAAUUGUAAUUUUGGCACUCUACAUGCAUUCUUUUGUCCUAAGACAAUUAUUGAGUCAAUCUAAUGAUUCACACAUGGCGACCAUUUGAGACAACUUGUAAUAGAGAAGAACCUAGAACUGACUUUUCAAAAGGCUAUUGAAUAAAAAGAGGGUUUGUCUAUAGAAGGUUUCAAUAGCUAUCCAAGUCAAGAAUGAGUGAGUUGCUACAAGUCUAUAGGAACUAAAAUAGUUUUCUUUCUAUAGAGUUAUAUAAGAAAAUAGAAGAAAAUUUAAUUUAAUCUUAAAAAUUAAUGAUUCUAGAACAAGAUGGACAAGACUAAGGCUAAAAAGGUGGUAUCUCUACUCCCCUCUUUUGACAUGAGAGGAUUUUGGUAUAAAGCCGUAAAGGCCUACAUAUCCAUAGAAGGUACAAUGUUGGUCUUUUCCUGCACUAAUAGUAGGUCAUUGGGAUAGCCCAUUUUUUCCAACCGGAUUUGAACCCGGGAUACUUACUUGACAAUCUCUCAUAUGACCAACACUUCUACACCCUUUGGAUGUUUACUAAGACACAUUCUUCCAUAUAUUAAUGAUUUCAUUUAUUUUUUAUUUUUUAUUUUUUAUUCUUUUUUGUGAUGGAACUAUGUUGAAAGAAGGACAAGUUGAUUGAAUAUAAUAAAAACUUAUCUUGACAUCUAAUGUUUAGCUUUCUAUUUUUUUCUAAUUUUGAUGAUUUUUUAUUUAAGGGAUUCAAAAUGACAAUUAUAAAGAUGAAAUCUUUGAUUAUGGAUGUAAUGAAAUCACACUUGAUAUUUCUUGCAUCGAUUGCUAGUAGUUCUAAUAGGAAAGUCUUUUCCAUUAAGAGUUUACAACCAAACUAAAUUGUUUGAAAAGACUUCUUUUACUAAAUAAGGACCCAAUCACUUUGCAUCAAAUUUUCUUGGGAAAUCUAAUUACGUAGCAUCUAGUAAGAGUAUUAGCAUGCCAGGCUUAAGGAUUCUAUCUUGUGUCAUUUGUCAAAGGCAAUUUUUCUUCUUCUUUGAAUUACCUCUAUAUGUUGAGUACUUUGCCUUUUGGCCUCAUUUAUAUCUUUUAAUCAUUCUAGCCUAUCAAUUAAAGAUUUCUUAGUUGACAAUCUUGCUGUCAAGGCAAUUUGAAGUGAAGAAAUUUCAAAUUCAAUUGAUAAAAUGGCUUCUAUGCCAUAAACUAAGGAAAAUGGGGUUGCUUGGAUUGUCUUUUUAAAUUUCAUUCUAUAAGCCCACAAGGGUGCAGGGAGCUUUGUAUCCCAAUCUCUUUUAGAUAUUGUAACACUUUUUCUAAGGAUAUUGAGCAAGGUUUGAUUUACCCUUUCUGUAUGCCCAUUUGUUUCAGGGUGAUAAGGAGUAGUUUUUCUAUGGUCAAUUUUUUCAAUUAAAUCUUCCAAAUCUGAACUUUGAAUGCAAUCAAAGUUCAUCCCAAAGACAUCUUCAAUUUUAAUGUCAUCUACCAAGGUUGCUAAAUCUACUUCCACUUUAUUGUCUUGCUAAGUAGCAAAACUAUCUAUGAAGUUAACAUUCAUUACUUCAUCUGCACUUGAAGUAGGGUGUUCCGCUAACCAUUGGAUGAAUUCUCCAUCAUCUUCAUAAUUGUAUAAUCUUGGGCCCAUGCAACUUAAUGGGGUAGUUUGGACUACACUAGAAUGAACUAUGUCCUUUGCUAUCGAAUCAGUAAAUUCAACCUUCUUUUUUAAUUCUUUCUGUGGUUGUGGAUUCAAAAUUCAUCUUCUAAAGAAUAAGAUGAGAUUUUGGUUGAAAACAAUCCUUAGAUUUGAAUAAGAAUUUUAGUCAAGUUUUCUAGUGGUCCAUAGAUGAUAUGGGGCUUUUUACCUCCCCAAUCAAUUUUUGCAUUAGUUGCCCUUAACCAGGGUCUGCCUAGAAGUAAUAGGUACGAAUUCUUACUUGGAUGCAUACGAAUAACAUGAAAAGUAAAGGAAUACUCCUUACCACCGAUUAUCACCCUACAUCCAAUAAUUUGGCCUAAAAAGAUGUCUUGGCUUUGAUUAGCCAUGUUAAUUAUAUAUAGAGAAGGGCCAGUGAUAUUAAGACCGAACUUCUCUAUUGUUCGUACAUGCAUGAUAUUUAAUCCACUACUUCCAUCCACAAUAGUAUAAAGUAUGAUUUUAUCCACUAUAAAGACUUCUAACUCGAUUGCCCUUACUUCUUGUAUUUAAUUCAACUAUCUAUUUAGAUGUAAGAUUAAAUUUGAUCAAUAUCCAAUGCCAAUGCUAGAAAAAUUAUUUAAUACAAUAGGAUUCUUUCAAGUAUUCAACACUUUGGAUUUAAGAUUUGGUCAUCAUAAAUUAUCAUUAUUUGUUAAAAAUUAGAUAAAGAUAGAAUUUUAAGAGAUUAAUCAAGAUGAUAAAGAUUAAUUCUAUUAUUAAAAGUUUCUUCCAUUUGGUCUUAAAAAUAUACUAGCUCAAUCUCAAGAAGUGAUGGAUCAAGUUUUAUUUAGCUUGUUGUUUGCUUGAUGCUAUAUUAUUAAUAUUAUCAUUUUUAGUAGCAUCCUAUAAGAUCAUGUAAGGUAUUUAUAAAUAGUAUUUGAAAGAUUAUGGCAAUAGGAAUUGUGCUUACAUCAUAAAAAAUAUAAAUUCUUCGAUAAAUAAUUAUCAUACUUAAAUUAUAUGAUUAUCCCAAGAAGUCUUAGCAUACAACAAGCAAAGGUAGAUGCCUUGCAAAAAUCCUAAUACCAAGUGAUGUUUUAUGACUUUAGACUUUUUUAGAAUUGAUAAAUUAUUAUUAGAGGUUUGAUAAAAACUUAAGCAAUAUUACAAAAUCGUUGACAAUUUUUACACAUAAAUAUCAACCAUGGACUUAGAAUCGUGAAAAAUUAUAUAUAUUCAAUAUAUUAUAGCAAAAGUUGGGUUCAAUUCUAAUACUUCAACGUUUGGAUUCUAAUAGACUUUCUAAAUUAUUUAUAAAUUGGAGUGCAAUAAGAUUAGAAGGAGUCUUGACAAAAAAUAAUGAUAUAAAAUAAGAAUAUAUUAUUGCAUUUGUUUCUAAAAGUAAUAACAAUGUGGAGUCAAAUCACUCAUCUUAUAAAAGAGAAGCUUUUGCAAUAGUUUAGACCAUUGCUAAUUUCUAACCUUACUUGUAUGAUCAAUCUUUUAUAUUAGUAAUUGACUAUCAAUCUUUGAAGUGGCUUAUAGAAUCAAAUAAGUAUAUUGGCAAGUUUACAAGAUAGAUUUUAUUGCUUAAAAAUAUGACUCUGAGGUUGUGCAUUAGGCAGGCAUUACCAAUUUGAAUGUCAAUAGACUUUUUUGUAAUCCAUGCCCUUUAUAAGAAGACUUAAUCAAAACUUAGUGGUAUAGAAAUUAUAAUUGAAAGAUAAUCUCUUGAUGGCAUACAACCACAUGUUUGACUUUAAUGUCAAAUUCUACAAUCAUAGUUCUUGACCAAAAUUUAAAAGAAGAAUUGGACAAGAAUCAAGUAAUUAAAAAUGUAUAAAAAAAUCUUAUACAAGCUUCAACAAGGAACAUUUCUUUCACUUAUCUUGUAUAUGAAAAGAGAUAGAAUUAGUCACUAAAUAAUAAGAUUUUUUUGAAAGAAAAAUUUAUUAUUUUGUAAGUAGCAUAAUAGUACUAAGCGCAUAGUUCCAAGGCCAAAUCAAAGAACCUCUUUAAUAUGACAAGUACAUGAAGAAUUUAGAUAUUUUAGGGUGAAGUGUGUGAUUGAAUUAGAUGAAGCUUUAAUACCUUAUUACCUCAAUUGAAGCUAUUAUUUAUUAUAGAUUUAUAUUAUUAUUGAUCUUUAGACUUUAUUGAACUACUUGUUAUUACCUCAUGGAGAGCUAAAUACAUGUUGAUGAUAGUAGAGUAUUUUAACAAGUAAAUUGAACUCGUGGCUUUAUUACAAAAUUCUUUAAAAUUGUUAAUUAUGAAAUUUUUAGUUAAGUAUUGGCAUAUUUUCGAACACCUAUUGAAGUCUCAAUGGAUCAAGAAAGAGAGUUUUUUAAAAGAUUUUAGGCUUUAUGUACUAAAGCUUUGAUAGAUUAUUGUGUUAUGUCUAGAAAUCAUCUUGAAGCAAAUAGCCUAAUUGAGUGGGUUGUUCACAUUGUCAAAUGUAAUUUACAAAAGUAUGAAUUACUUCAUGGCAAUUAUCAUAAUUGAAAUUUGAUGUUGCUAUAGAUUGCAAUGGAUUAUUACUUCAAUAAACAAACAACUUUGGCACUUUAUAGCCCUUAUCAAUUGUUGUAUGGAUAGGAGCCAAUUCUACCUAACUCAGUAUAUAAAAAACUAGUUCUAGUUGUUGACAUAGACGAUCUUGAUAUUUGAGCUCAAUGUCUACAUAAUCAAGCAAAGUUCUUUAAACAAGCCAUAUAUAUGGCUAUAGAAAAUUUAUUUAUUAUUCAAUAAUAUGAUAUUUUAUAAUAUGCUAAUAUUUAUAAUAGAACUUAUUGAUUUUAGUUGCAAAGAUUCUCUAAAAGAGAUUAUGUGUAUUUACAAUAUGAGGUGUCUACAACACUUGAUAUUAAAAUAAGAUCCACAAUUCUACUUCUAAAGAAUGUGUUGUCUAAUAGUAUUUUAUUGUUAGAAGGCAAAAAUGGACAAGAAUGUCAAGAGCAUUUAAAGAAUUGUAUUCCUUGUCAUCUUCCUACUAAUGACUCUAUACAUUUUAAAUUAGAAUUGUAUCAAUUGGCCUUUUUUAUUUUGUAUGCAGUAAGAAGAAAGAAGCUGCUAUCAGACUUUUGUAUGAUCAAUGCCAAUACAUGUGGCAUAUGGCAUGUUUGAUACUACCUUUUUUGAUUCUUCCAUGAAGAGAUUGGAUUUUUCUUCAUUGUAAGAAGUCUCUUAGCCAUGCUUCAUCUCAUGAUAAGGACUGAAGAUUUCCUCUAUUAUGUGUGUCACAUACUUUGAUAGACUAACUAUUACAAUACUAGUUUAAAAGAGUAUUAUUCGGCAAUAAUAUAAUUAUGGUGUUCAUCUUCAAUAAUAUAUAUUUUGUAGUCCUAAUUAAUUAGAAGGACUUUUAAUCAACUAAAAGGUGCAUUUAAAAGUGUAUUGAGUGUCCAUUUAUAUUUGAUUUAAAUUACAUACUUUAUAAUUAAUUUAUAGCUUUCAAUAAGUUAAGUUGAAAUAAAACUGAUCUAUCUCAUGUAUCUAAGAUCUUUCUAAUCCAUAGCAACAUAAAAUCUUAUCAUAAGAUGGAACAAACUAGAUUAGAAAAAAAUUGAAUAGAAGUAAAUAGAAUAAAAUAUGGAAGACAAAAUUGAACAAUCUGAAUUAGAAUAGAAUAAAACAAGGAGAUACAAAAUCCAAUUAUAUUAAGAGAAAGGGUCUGAAGCCAUACUUCACUAGAUGCCCCAAAAGGCCCUAGUUAGUCCUAUUUAUAUUUUAUUCUACCACCUUAGACUUUCUAAAAUGCUCCUAGGUAGUAGACUCUACUUAGAUAAUUACCUUAAAUUCCUUUUAGAAGGCUCUAUGGUAGGCCCUAUCUAAAUAAUCACCUUGAGCUUUUUUUUAGAAGGUUCCAUGGUGGAUCUUAUCUAAAUAACUAUCCUAAACUCUUUCUAAAAUAUUCUACGGUAGAUCCUACUUGGUCCACUAACCUAACCUUAAUUCUAGAAACUUCCAUGGUUCUAACUAUCUAUCCCUAUAUAUCAAUAAUACAAAUAUUUUAUCUAUAUCCUAUUAUAUAUAUAUAAUAAUCUUUAUUUAUACAAUAAUUAGAAUAUUAAAAAAGAUGCAAUCUUAAAUAGAGUUUUAUUUGUUGUAGAAAUCCUAAAAACUUUAAACUUGUUUCAUUGAACUUCUCUAACAUACUUAUUUUUUUUUCUUUUAUAUAUAUAAUAACAAGACUUUUUAGAUUUAGUUAUAAGCUUAAUCUACUUGUUUCUCUCAAUUAUACAAUUUUUUGGUGUAGACUUUGAAUUUCAUUAUUAAUAUCUUAUAUAGGCAUUGAAAUAUUACUUCUAUGAUUGAUAUUUGUCAAGAAUAUAAAUCUCAAAGAAUUGAAAGAUCAAUACACUCUUAUAUCACUUAAAAAGACUUGAUAAUCAAACUAGAAUGGCUAUUGCCAAAGACAAAAGACUAAAAAGACUAAAAAGACUUGAAAUAAGACUUAAGAUUAGAAAGGCAUUGAUAAGAGUAAAGAAGACUUCACUCUUGCCUCCAUAUAUACUAUCUAACUAUGUGGCAAUAUCUUAUAGGACCUCAAACACAUGUCUAAAUUAUAAGACACAUGUCUUAAUUUAUAAAAAAAAGUUUUUUAAACGUGCACUAAAUAAUUAGUUUACUCCAUAAACUAUCAAUAAGUAUAAUACGUGACUAAUUUAUUGACUAAGUUCCUAAUCUAUUAAUCAACUACAAACAUGGAUAAAGAUAAAGCUAUAUCUAUGAAAUUUCUAAAAAACAUAUGCAAAAGAUAUUAUCUAAUUAAUUUACUUUUAAUUAAUUCUACCUAAUGAUAUAGAUAAUUAUUGAAAUAAAAAUAUGUAUUUAUAAAAAUAUAAGAGAUAUGUGAGAUUUCUACCCUAAAAGUGUUAACAAAUUUGUAAAGAUUUGUAAUAGUUAAAAAUCUAAUUUCACUUCUAUCAAGAGUAAUAUCUAUAAUUUUUUCUUCCAUAUAUAAUUCAAACAAAUCUAUAAAAUAAAUUAGUAGAGGAUAAUUAUCAAGGACAUAAAUCUCAAAGAAAUAAAUCCUCAAUAUACUCUUAUUUCAUUAAAAAGGACUAGAAAGUCAUUCAAAGAUGAUAAAAUAUUGAACUAAAAUGACUAUUUCUAAAAACAAGCAUACUAAAAAAAAGUCUUAAAAUAAGACUAAAGACUAGAAAAAUAUUGACAAGAGUGAAAAAAGGCUUCGCUCUUGCUUCUAUAUAUAUUUUUAAUUAAGAGCUAUAAGGUGAUGUUUUAUAGGACCUCCAAAAUGUGUUGACUUUGCAAGAUAAGUAUUUUAACUUAGAAGGCAAGUUUUCUAAAUGUACACUACAUAAUUAGCUUUUUUUGUAAGAUAUUAAUAUGUGGUUAAUUUAUUGACUAAGUUUCUAACCUAUCAAUCAACUACAAACACAUGUAAAGUCAAAGUAAUGUCUAUGAAGCUUUUAAGAAGCUUCUUUACAAAAUAUUAUAUAAUAAGUUUAUUUUUAUUUACUUCUACUUAAUCAUAUAAUUAAAUAUUAGAAUAAAUAUGUAUAUUCAUGCCAUUUUUUUUUUAGGGAUAAGUUCUACAAGGACCUGUCUACAUAUGUUGAAAAAAUCCAAAAUGCAAUAAAUUAUGUUUGCCACAUACUCUGAUUUUUGUUCUCUUUGAAGAUGGUUGAUAAGUCCUCUUAGCUUUUGAUAAUUUUCUAUACCAGGCCAAAAAGACCACCUUUUUAUUUGGUCAUUUUUCAGGCCUUCAUAACUUCUUUCAAAUAUAAUAUUUGGAACACCAUUAGAAAUUUUUUCUACCUCUAAUAAAAUCAUCAAACAUUGGGAGUCUCUUACAAAGAGGUGAUACCGAACUCAUUAUAUUUUGCCAUCUAUUUGAGGCAAGAUAUGUCAUUCUUGAGGAUCUUCAUUUCGAUUGUGUCAGCUUGAAGGUUGUGACAAUUGUAAUGUCUUAUCUAGUAAGUCAGCAAGUAAAAGUUCUUGAAUUGAAUCUACUAGUUGUUGGUUCUUUAUCUUCUUAGAGUCACAAAUACAAAGAAAUUACAAACAAGGGUAAAAAGUAGAAUGCUAUCUUUUUUAGAUCUUGAUUCUUUUAUAGCAAAGAUUUGUUAUUUUUCAUCUUGAUUUUGAUGGAUGUUGUUAAUAAAAAGCCUCAACUCUCUUUAUUGCAUUUGUAAGAUUCUUUACUUGCUUCUAUAUGUAUUUAUUAAUAUCAUAUCUAUGCCAAUGAACAAGAUAUUUCAACAUAUUUUAGCACUGCCUUGAAUCUAAGACUUAUUUUACCUUAAACUCUUGAUUAUUAUCGACUUCUAUAAUAGGAGGUGGAAUUUGUCUUCUUCUUGAGAUAUUCAUUGUCUUAUAUGGUUCAAAAAGAGAUCCAUGAAAUAUAAGGUGGAUCUUUAUAGAUUCCAGUAGAUGUAAUUAACAACCAAUAUGAUUGACUUUUUUACAAAUAAGAAAAGAUUCAAGCCUAUAAUAGUCUAAUUUAUUACAAGAAUGAGUAGUUUUGAUAUUGCAACAAAAUAAUCAUACUUUAUCACUCACAUUGAAUUAUGAUUGUUCUUUGUAAUAGGCAUCUGCAUUAAUCUUUUAUCAUUCUUCAACUCUCUUUAAAUAUGCCUUCAUUGUUACAUAUAGCUUUGACAAAUAAUUUGCUAAAACUUUUGUUGCAAGAUUAUCAACUUUCAAAAAGUCAAAAGUAUCAAGUUAUAGAUGAUAACCAUGAUUGGCAAAAAAAAAGGUGUUUAUUCAGUGGAAGAAUGUAUCAAAUUAUUAUACAUAAACUUUGCCAAUGAUAAAAGAGUUGUCUAAUCAUCUUAAUAAUAGUUUUUGGUAUACUUCAAAUAUUGUCUCAAAAUUUGAUUCAUCCAUUUUAUUUAAUCAUUAGUUUAAAGAUUAAUAAAAAAAAAAAAAAAAAAAAAAAAAAAAAAAAAAAAAACUUUAUAUUCCCCUUUUAAAUUUUGAAAAGGAUUUUUCAAAAUCUUGAUACAAAUUGAGUUCUCUUAUCUGAUAUAAUAUCUUUAGACGAUCUGUAAUAAUGACAAAUGUUAUUAAGAAAAAAUUUAGCCGUUUCUUCAUCUUUGAUAGAUUUUACACAUGAUGCAAAAUAUGAAAUAUUUAUAAAAUAAUCUACUACUACAAAUAUAGAAUCAUAAAAACCUAAAAUUCAAAAGAUCCAUGAUAAAAUCAAUAGAAAUGAAAGACCAUAGUUAUUCUAGAAUAGGUAAUGGAUGAAGAAGUCCAUAAGAUCGAUAGCAAUGAAUUUUAGAUCUUGAACAAAUAUUACAUGAUUGUAUAAAGUUUUUAACUACUUUCUUUAUUUGAAGCCACCAAAAAUAUUUUAAUAUUAGCUUCAAAGUCUUAUUGUAUCUAAAAUAUUCAGUUGCUAAAAAGUCAUCAUGAGUUUGAAGAACACAUAAUUGUACCUUAUCUUCUAUAAUAUAUAAUUAUUCUUUAAAGUAGAAUAGAUUAUCCUUCAACACAAACUUAGAAAUAUCAUGAGAUUUAAAAGAGUUAUUCUUGAUAUCAUCGACAAGAGAAUCAAAAGAAAUACUUGAUUGAAUUUGUUUGACAAAGAUUGAAAUAACAAUCAAUAUUGAUUUUAUUAUUCAAAGGUGAAAAUGUUCUAGCUUCAAGAGAAUUGUUCUUUAUUGAUCAAAAGAUGCAUCAUCUUCUUUUCAUAUAAGAUAAAAAUAUCUAAAAAAAACAUCCAAUAAACCUUAUUGUUUUUUGAAUCGAUAAAUAAUCUUAAAAUCAAAUCUUGAUAAAGACAUACUCUAAGAAGUAUAGCGACAAUUCAAAUCAUGUGUCGAUAUGAAGUACUCAAGAUUCUUAUUAUUUAUAUAUAUGGUGACUAGAUUCAAAGCGCCUUUUAAAUAAUGACACCAUUCUUCAAAUAAAUCCACAAUUACAAUGAGUUCUUUGUUAUGGAUCUCAUAAUUAAUCUUAACUAUUGAAAAUUUUCUAGAAUAGAAAGCUAUCGAAUGGAAUUUAUUACAUGUUCUUAUUUUUAAUAAUAUUACAUCUAAGACAAAGUUUGAUGCAUCUCUUUCUAUAAAAAAAAAAUACAUUAGAUAAGUCAAUACUAUAUAAGAUUGGUGCAAAAGUAAACUCCUUUUUUAAAGUAUCAAAUGAUGCUUUUGCUUCUUUACUCUACUCAAGUUUGUCUUUAGAAAUCAAACAUUGUCAUAUUACAUGAAGUGUUAUUUGAAAGUACAUCAAGCAUCUGGCUAUGAAAGAUAGAAUGGAAAUUGCAAUAACAAAAUCUUAAUUUUAAUUGAAUAUUAAAUAAAAUCUAAUUAAACCUUAAAAAUGUUAAAGAAUUUUUAAUCAAAUUCAAAAGAAACCUUAAAGAAAUUACAAAAGAAAUAAUAAGAAAUCUUAAAAGAAUUGAAAGAAUUGAAAGGCACAAUCAAUCUUAAAAAAAUCUUUAAGAAGUCCUAAAAAUAUUAAAAUAAUCACAAUAUAUCUUAAAUAAAUCUCAACCAAAUUUUAAUUUAAUCCUAGUUGAAUCACCAAUAGACUUCAAUCAAACUCUAGACAAAUCCUAAAAAAAUCCUAAAUUCUAAACUAAAUCCUAGACAAAUCUUAAAUCCUAAAUUUAAUCCUAAUCAAAUCCUAAACCUUAAACCAAAUCCUAAAUCAAAUCAUAAUUAAAUCCUAAAAAAACUUCAAAUCCUAAAUCAAAUCUUAGCCAAACCUUAAAUUCUAAAUCAAACUCUAAUCAAAUCUCAAAUCCUAAAUCAAACCCUAACUAAAUCCUAAAUCCUAAAUCAAUCCUAAUCAAAUCUCAAACUCUAAAUCAAAUCCUAAUCAGACCUUAAAUCCUAAAUCAAAUCUUAGAUAAGUCCUAAACUCUAAAUCAAAUCCGAAAUAAACCUUAAAUCCUAAAUCUUAAAUUAAAUCCUAAUCAAAUCCUAAAUCAAACCCUGACCAAAUCCUAAACCAUAAAUCAAAUCUUAACCAAAUUCUAAACUUUACAUCAAAUACUAACCAAAUUCUAAAUCCUAAAUUAAAUCCUAAUCAAAUCUUAAAUCCUAAAUCAAAUCCUAAUCAAAUUCUAAAUCCUAAAUCAAAUCCUAAAAAAAUCUUAAAUCCUAAAUCAAAUCCUAAACAAAUCUUAAAUAUUAAACUAAAUCCUAGAAGAACUCUAAAUCUGAAAUCCAAUCCUAAUCAAAUCCUAAACCUUAAAUCAAAUCCUAGACAAAUCUUAAAUCUUAAAGCAAAUUUUAAUCAAACCU